GCAAUAUCUGCCGUUACAGGUGACCUCGCCAGCCGAUUCAUCUCUUUUCUCAUGAACAAAUACACGGAUCAUGUAUGCUCAGAGGAGAAGGCGGAGAGGCUACAACAACUCUUGUUGAGAGUUCACACGGUCGUCGAGGAGGCGGACGGACGAUGCAUCACCAACUCUUGUAUGCUCAUGCAGUUGAAGCAGCUAUCGUCAGCCAUGUACCAAGGGUACCAUGUGUUGGACAACGUCAGGUACAAGCAACAUAAGGAGGCAUCCAAGGACUUGGUGAGCGAUUCAUCUACCUCGUCCGAUUAUAUCAUUCCUUUCAAACGUGCU
rnacentral:rRNA from 1 species